GAUAAGGUAUAAUAAACAUCCAAGUCCGAACACAAGAAUCCAGCUCGAUUGCCUUUCUAAUAAUGCUGGCUCUGAACAGAAAUAGACGAGACUGAGACAAACCACUAAUUAGUGGUGCAAAAGCCCAUAUACACAUCUAAAAUACUUCAAU